UCUCGCCUCGCUAGAAAGCGUGAAGCAGUUUGUUGAUAGUUUCCGGAGAACAGAACGGCCGCUGGAUGUUCUUGUCUGCAACGCAGCGGUUUACCAGCCGACUGCUAAAGAACCUUCUUUCACAGCCGAAGGGUUUGAGAUAAGCGUUGGGACUAACCAUUUAGGACAUUUUCUUCUCUCGAGGUUGCUUCUUGAUGAGUUGAAGAAAUCUGAUUAUCCAUCAAAACGUAUGAUCAUCGUAGGAUCUAUAACAGGUAAAUAAAAUGGUUUCUCCUUUCAGACAAUGAGGUGUUGAUUGUUUAAACUAGUUUUUGGUUUUAGUUUUUAAAUUUUGGUUUUAGACUUUCAGAUUUUGGUUUUUGAUUUUAAUUUUCAGAUUUUGGUUUUUAGUGUUUAGAUUUAGAUUUUUUUUUGGUUUUGCUGUAUUUUUUUAGUUUUCUUAAUAACCAGUGAAUUAUUUUAAAAUAAUACAAAAUAUAGUAAUAAAAAAUUAAGAAGUUACCAUUAAUAUUUAUCAAAAUAUAAUGAUUGUUAUUUUAAAAAAAAAAAAAAAAUACAUUAAUGUUGUUGCAGGAAACACAAAUACUUUGGCUGGGAAUGUACCGCCAAAGGCGAACCUUGGAGACCUAAGAGGCUUUAUCAUUACUUGUUUUGUAAAGUUUGAAACUUUACAAUGCAGUCAUCUUGAAAACAUCAUUAGCAAACAAUGAUAUUCAGAUCAAAUUUCAACGUUUUACAAAAAAAAUCGAUAUGAUUGAUUUAAAUGUUGAAGAGGGGAAAUAAUUUACCUGUUAUUGACUUAGGAAUGGAGGAGGGAGAGAUGGUAUAGACACGGUGACGAUGAACAAGGAAGAAGAGAGAGAAGAAGAAGAAAAACACAAGAAGAAAGAAAAAGAAAAUAGGAACAAAAAUGUAAUCCUUCAUUGUAAUUUUGCAACUUUUAGAAAUUUGAAAAGGAUGAAGAAAGUUGUGAUCCAGAAGUGUUUUUGCUCUCUUUUUCGUUUCCUCUCGCCAAUCUCUUCAUGGACCGUUAAGUUGCCGCCUUCUUCUCCCUUCCACCAAAUUAAUUCUCGGCACAUUUGGACCGUCCAGAUCAUUUACUAUCAACCUAAUCAACGGUGAUCAGCUCAGUUAGUUAACCAACAAGAAAAUCGUUUUUUAUAAAUCAAGCCCAUCUCUAGGCCCAUCACAAAGAAUCCAAACUAGUGAUCUGAGUGGCUACACGUGUCACUAAUCCAAUACUCCCUUAUCUUUUUGUCUCCCCCCUCAAAUCGAACAACGUAGAAGACAGACACUGAACUCUCGCAACUUCAGUCAGUUCCGUACAGAAAUGGCUCUUCAGGCUGCAUAUUCUCUUCUUCCUUCUACCGUCUCAAUCCGCAAAGAGGUAUUAUUAUGUUUUCACAUUCACCAAAUUUUAUUCUUAAUACAUUAAUUCGAGAGUUUUGCGCUCAAUGCCAAUGGUUGAUCUUGCAGGGUAAGUUCAGUGCUUCUCUAAAGGAGACGACUUUAACUGGUUUUUCAUUCUCCAACCAUCUUAAAGCCGAUAAAAUCUCCACCCUCUUAACCUUCAAGGUAAAAAAAAAUCAAUCAAUUCUCAAAAAAAAAAAAAACAGAGCAAUGUCCUGAGUUUGUACUCUGUUUCGUUUCAGGAACAGAGAAGACAAAGUCCGCGUUUCUCCACCGUUACUCGCGCACAGACCGUUGCAACUCCUCCGGCUAACGAAGCCUCGCCGGAGCAAAAGAAGACGCAGAGAAAAGGCACCGCAGUGAUCACCGGAGCUUCCUCCGGUCUCGGUUUAGCCACGGCCAAGGCUUUAGCAGAGACAGGGGAAUGGCACGUGGUCAUGGCGUGCAGGAACUUUCUCAAAGCCGAGAAAGCGGCGAAAUCCGUGGGGAUGUCUAAGGAAGACUACACGGUGAUGCAUCUCGAUCUCGCCUCGCUAGAAAGCGUGAAGCAGUUUGUUGAUAGUUUCCGGAGAACAGAACGGCCGCUGGAUGUUCUUGUCUGCAACGCAGCGGUUUACCAGCCGACUGCUAAAGAACCUUCUUUCACAGCCGAAGGGUUUGAGAUAAGCGUUGGGACUAACCAUUUAGGACAUUUUCUUCUCUCGAGGUUGCUUCUUGAUGAGUUGAAGAAAUCUGAUUAUCCAUCAAAACGUAUGAUCAUCGUAGGAUCUAUAACAGGUA
rnacentral:lncRNA from 1 species